AGUGAACGCUGGCGGCGUGCCUAAUACAUGCAAGUCGAACGGAGAUUAAGUAGCUUGCUAUUUAAUCUUAGUGGCGCACGGGUGAGUAAUAUAUAGCUAACUUGCCCAUUACUAAGGGACAACAGUUGGAAACGACUGCUAAUACCUUAUACUCCGUAUCUAUAUAAGUAGAUACGGGAAAGUUUUUCGGUAAUGGAUAGGGCUAUAUCGUAUCAGCUAGUUGGUAAGGUAAUGGCUUACCAAGGCUAUGACGCGUAACUGGUCUGAGAGGAUGAUCAGUCACACUGGAACUGAGACACGGUCCAGACUCCUACGGGAGGCAGCAGUAGGGAAUAUUGCUCAAUGGGGGAAACCCUGAAGCAGCAACGCCGCGUGGAGGAUGACACUUUUCGGAGCGUAAACUCCUUUUCUUGGGAAAGAAUUAUGACGGUACCCAAGGAAUAAGCACCGGCCAACUCCGUG
rnacentral:rRNA from 1 species